AGGGCUGUGGCUCAGUGGUAAAGCGUUCGCUUUGCAUGCGUAAAGCCAGGGUUUCAAGUCCUCGCAGCUCCA
rnacentral:tRNA from 1 species